rnacentral:rRNA from 1 species
AACGAACGCUGGCGGCAGGCCUAACACAUGCAAGUCGAGCGAGGACUUCGGUUCUAGCGGCGGACGGGUGAGUAACGCGUGGGAAUGUGCCCUUCUCUACGGAAUAGCCCUGGGAAACUGGGAGUAAUACCGUAUAUGCCCUAUUGGGGAAAGAUUUAUCGGAGAAGGAUCAGCCCGCGUUGGAUUAGGUAGUUGGUGGGGUAAUGGCCUACCAAGCCGACGAUCCAUAGCUGGUUUGAGAGGAUGAUCAGCCACACUGGGACUGAGACACGGCCCAGACUCCUACGGGAGGCAGCAGUGGGGAAUCUUAGACAAUGGGGGCAACCCUGAUCUAGCCAUGCCGCGUGAGUGAUGAAGGCCUUAGGGUUGUAAAGCUCUUUCAGCUGGGAAGAUAAUGACGGUACCAGCAGAAGAAGCCCCGGCUAACUCCGUG